rnacentral:rRNA from 1 species
CAUGCAAGUCGAACGGCAGCACGGGAGCAAUCCUGGUGGCGAGUGGCGAACGGGUGAGUAAUGUAUCGGAACGUACCUUCAGUGGGGGAUAACGUAGCGAAAGUUACGCUAAUACCGCAUAUUCUGUGAGCAGGAAAGCAGGGGAUCGCAAGACCUUGCGCUGAUUGAGCGGCCGAUAUCAGAUUAGCUAGUUGGUGAGGUAAAGGCUCACCAAGGCGACGAUCUGUAGCGGGUCUGAGAGGAUGAUCCGCCACACUGGAACUGAGACACGGUCCAGACUCCUACGGGAGGCAGCAGUGGGGAAUUUUGGACAAUGGGCGCAAGCCUGAUCCAGCCAUGCCGCGUGAGUGAAGAAGGCCUUCGGGUUGUAAAGCUCUUUCAGCCGGGAAGAAAACGCAUGGGUUAAUACCCUGUGUGGAUGACGGUACCGGAAUAAGAAGCACCGGCUAACUACGUGCCAGCAGCCGCGGUAAUACGUAGGGUGCGAGCGUUAAUCGGAAUUACUGGGC